UACGUAGGUGGCAAGCGUUGUCCGGAUUUACUGGGUGUAAAGGGCGCGUAGGCGGGCUCGUAAGUCAGACGUGAAAUACCGGGGCUCAACCCCGGGGCUGCGUUUGAAACUGCGAGUCUUGAGUGCCGGAGAGGAAAGCGGAAUUCCUAGUGUAGCGGUGAAAUGCGUAGAUAUUAGGAGGAACACCAGUGGCGAAGGCGGCUUUCUGGACGGUAACUGACGCUGAGGCGCGAAAGCGUGGGGAGCAAACAGG
rnacentral:rRNA from 1 species